rnacentral:rRNA from 1 species
UACGUAGGGUGCGAGCGUUAAUCGGAAUUACUGGGCGUAAAGCGUGCGCAGGCGGCUUUGCAAGACAGAUGUGAAAUCCCCGGGCUUAACCUGGGAACUGCAUUUGUGACUGCAUGGCUGGAGUGCGGCAGAGGGGGAUGGAAUUCCGCGUGUAGCAGUGAAAUGCGUAGAUAUGUGGAGGAACACCGAUGGCGAAGGCAGCCCCCUGGGCCGACACUGACGCUCAGGCACGAAAGCGUGGGGAGCAAACAGG